AACGCACCUUGCGCUCCUUGGUAUUCCGAGGAGCAUGCCUGUUUGAGUGUCAUUAAAUUCUCAAUCUCUACAACUUUGUGUUGUCUAGAUUGGAAGUGGGGGGCUCUUGUGUGGAAUCUAAUUCCUCACUCCCCUUAAAUGUAUUAGCUGGAAUGCCUCUGCAUAUCUGACUAUCAGUGUGAUAAUUAUCUAUACUGUAGUUGUUGCUUGAGGGUAUCUGCUUCUUCAAUCGUCGAAAGACAAUUCUAUAUGACCAUCUUGACCUCAAAUCAGGUAGGACUACCCGCUGAACUUAA
rnacentral:misc_RNA from 1 species